ensembl:lncRNA
AAAUACAUAAAGGAAUUAAGGAGUUAUUCUCUAAGAAGGUGUCAAGGUCAGCUGCCCAGCUGACUUGCCUCUACACCAAUGCUCACAGCUUGGGAAACAAACAGAAAAGGCUGGAAGGCACCAUGCUACUAGAAAACAACGACAUAGUUGCUGUCACCAAAGCCAGCUGGGGCUGUUCAGCUGGAGAAUAGAAGGCACCAGAGAGACCUGAUAGCAGCCUUUUAGAAUCUAAAGGGAAGAAGUAAGAAAGAAGGGGAUGGACUCUUUAGCAGGGUCUGUUGUGAUAGGACAAGGGAAAACGGUUUCAAACUAAAGGAGGGGAGAUUUAGUUUGGAUAUAAGGAAGAAGUUUUUUUCAAUAAGGGUAGUGAGGUGCACGUUGCUCAGGGAGGUGGUGGAUGCCACAUCCUUGGAGACAUUCAAGGUCAGGCUGGACCAGGUUCUGAGCAACCUAACUGAGCUAUGGGUGUCCCUGUUCAUUGCAGGGAAGUUGGACUAGAUGAUGUUUAAACAUCCCUUUCAACUCCAAUGAUUCUAUGAUUCUAUUGUGAUUUGUCCAUGAGUAAUUCCAUCAAGAGUGUGGGCAACUCUUACGGAGAUUAAAGAUGUAUAUCUAAGAGUACUAUUCCUCUAAAUACUAACUGCUAAGAAAUUUCCAGCAUUCAGAGGCAGAUUCAGCACGACUUAAGCAGGCUCUUGGAAUUUCAGAACAGAGCUCCAAGCCCUUUGCUAACAGCAGAGGAUUACGAACAGCAGAUCCACGUGCACUGGGAGUUCUCAGUUCCACUCUCUCUCCUUACCUGGUCCUCAGAAGCUUGCUCCGCAUAUUGCAUGCUGCUCUUACUCUUACUCUUCCUUACAGAGGUUAAAGAGAACUUCUGCUGCUUUCCAGUUCUCCCUCAUAUAAUCUUCUCUUUUUAAAAUACUUCUAAAAUUCUAUUAUAUUCUAAAACAUACACACAUACGCAGCAAAGAAUAUUUGCACUAUGUUUUCAUGUAGAACUGAUGUCUGAUUGCUAGGAAAUGUACGUAUUUUAUACCAUUAGAAAUUCAGACAUACUAGAGAGAGGAAAAAGAAACGUAUUGGGGGAUUUGCCAAAGUUGCAAAUAAAGCUUUUAAAAGACCUGCAAUAAAAGACAUGCAGUAAGAAUUUCCAAAUUUUAACGGUUGUCUCAGUGGGUGGUUCAUAUUACUAUCUUCAUGAUUCCUCACUUUGUUCUAGGAAAUAUUUUUGCUUUUCAAUAGUAUCACGUUCCUGGAAUUUCCUUUGUAGUGAAAAUGUUUAACCUUAAUGCAGAAAUUAUGCAGAAUUUUAAGCCUACAGCUAUGCAGAAAUCCAGAGCAGAGAUACAUUAAUAUUCUUUCUCCUUCCAUCCCUUCUCAUUCUUACAAAGGCACAACUAGUCUGCUCAGAUCUGUGAUUUGAAUAAGGAGUAACUCUACAUGUCUGCAAAAAAAGAGAGGCUCUCUCAGGGAAAGCCUCUUAUUAAUCUUAUUAAACAUAUUGAUGUUGGAGAACAGGGAACCAACCCUACUGCCCCUAGCAAUAUGCAACAGUUGAGAUGGAAAUACCCCUAAUUAUAGCGUAAGAUAAAAUACUUUAAUCUCACAAAGUCUUUGCUUCAAAGAAAGCAAGCCCCAAACACAUGCAUUUAUCUUAAACACCAAAGCUGUAAGUAUUUCAAGAGAUGCGAUCUCAGGCUGCAGAGCUACAUGAACCUCAGCAUGAGCACUGGAUUGAUGCACACAAGAAGUGUGAUCACGCUCAACAUUUAGCAUAGAGUGAUUAUUUACGGGGAAGACUUAAAGAACGCUGGCAGUGGUUUGGCUGUUCUGAGAUGCUCCGAGCGCUGUGCAGAGUUGAGUCCAUCAGAGAACUGGGAGUUGGUAUGGAGAAAGCCUAGCACCUGUUUGCUUGGAAAUGCUUAUGAAAAUCUCUUAUUUUAUAUAUAUGCAUACAUAAAAAAUAAUAUAUACGCAUACGUUUAAGGAGUUAUAUUUAUUCACUAUUCUGACAAGAAUCAACUGGGACCAACAGCUAUUGAGAGGUUUAAAUGCAAAGAGAGGUACCAGAUGUUAUCCAAAAGGCUUUCCUGUAACCGAGAGAAAGACUUGGCCGUAUACACUUAAAAAUAAUUAGAAGUACUGAACUAUAAAUGCCUAUUCUGAAACAUGCGCAUGGGUGUUGAUUUCAUAUAACCUGAAUUCUUUUGAGGGGCAAAUGCGUAUUGCUGCUGUUUAAUCUUGUUUAACUGCGUGUACUGGGAUAAAGCAAACCGCUUCGCGAUGAGGAAAAGC